rnacentral:misc_RNA from 1 species
AACGCAGACUGCGCCCUCGGGGCCCUCCCCGGGGGCACGUCCGCUCGAGCGUCGGCACAUCAUCUCGAUCGACUCCCUCGCCGUCCCCAGAGGACGAGGAGGAAGGCGGCCACGAGAGUCUCCCUUCCGGGCGAAAAAAACCGGGAGGGCGUCUCUUCAGAUGGGGAGAGGACCUUCGCCACUUCUCUUUUCCGAGAUGGGCGGUCUCGAGCUUUACCCCGAUCCUCUUCUCCUAGGAAGAACAUUUCCCGGCGAGACGGAGGUGGGGAAAGGGCGAGGGGCCGUCACACCAAACAUCCGGGAGAGGGAGGAGGGAGGAGGACCUCGCCGAUACGGAAAAGAGGAGGAGGAGACUCUUCCGAAACUUCGACCUCGAGUCGGGCGGGAUCACCCGCUGGACUUAA